ensembl:lncRNA
GCCGUCUCCUCUAUCCGUCUCUCUCUAGCCGUCUCUCUCUGUCCGUCUCUCUCUAUCCGUCUCUCUCUAGCCGUCUCUCUCUAGCUGUCUCUCUCUGUUGUUCUCUAGCAGUCUCUCCCUAGCCGUCACUCUCUGUUGCUCUCUAUCCGUCUCUCUCUAUCCGUCUCUCUCUAUCCGUCUCUCUCUAUCCGUCUCUCUCUAUCCGUCUCUCUCUAUCCGUCUCUCUAUCCGUCUCUCUCUGUUGUUCUCUAGCCGUCUCUCUCUGUUGUUCUCUAGCCGUCUCUCUCUGUUGUUCUCUAGCCGUCUCUCUCUGUUGUUCUCUAGCCGUCUCUCUCU